AAUGACGCUACAAAAAUCCUACUUCGUGUGUUUUCCGUCACCUACGCGUGCCCCCGGGAGCUUCAAAAGUUGAGGUGAAGCCAUGUUGAAUUCUUGAAAAGGCUCGAAUGGCCCUCCACCAAGGCUGGAUGGAGUGUGUGGCCCCGAUGAAUUGCGACCUCUCAGUCUCUCAAGUGAGCUUCAUCUUCAUGUUCCAAGAGGAUGACAUCACCGUUGACCUUCCCGAGCCCAACCCCCACAUUUGUGGCCCCGACCUGCCUCCCUUGUCUGUGGGAACACCAGUUCAUUACGUGGAGAUGAAUUGCCUUAUUGUGAAAAGCUCUGGCGAAGUUGGUGCUGGACAUCGGGGGGAAUCAUUCGGUGACCCAACUUCAGGGGUCAGUACACCCUCUGUUUGGAAAACAUCUCACGGAACGCAUCGCUGGGCUGACUGGCCGGCUGCCCCCCCCCCCCUCCUGUGAGUCGAGGGCCCUCUCGCAGCCACGCCACCGUGAUGAGGGACUGCACUGAUGGGUUUGCAGCACACUAACGCACAACCUCAUGCGCAUUUAGUUGGAUUUUGAUUGGAUAUUUUCAAUGAUCAUAUGACACCUCCCUCCCCCACCCUACCCCAAAAAUGAAAGAAGGCUGUUGAUGGUCAUUUACGGGCAAGCAAAUCAUGAAUUGUUUUGAUGCCCGUGCCUCUAAAAGAUGGAGCCUGGUGAGGUGGAAUGUAUGCGAGUCUAUGUGUGAGAUUCUGGGUGUGAGCUGUGGCUGACAGAAGCUCCUACUUGAGUGUGCUCAUUGUGUCUUUGUGUUUUAGAGUACUCCCGGCAUUCAAUAAAUGGCUGAAUUGUGCACCAGGUUCUUCGG